CAGCCGCCGCGGGAAUACGGAGGGUGCAAGCGUUAAUCGGAAUUACUGGGCAUAAAGCGCACGCAGGCGGUCUGUCAAGUCAGAUGUGAAAUCCCCGGGCUUAACCUGGGAACUGCAUUUGAAACUGGCAGGCUAGAGUCUUGUAGAGGGGGGUAGAAUUCCAGGUGUAGCGGUGAAAUGCGUAGAGAUCUGGAGGAAUACCGGUGGCGAAGGCGGCCCCCUGGACAAAGACUGACGCUCAGGUGCGAAAGCGUGGGGAGCAAACAGGAUUAGAGACCCCAGUAGUCCCUGUCUCUUAUAC
rnacentral:rRNA from 1 species